CAAAUGAACCCUUGGAACUGGAGAGACCCAGAUAUAGCUCCAAGACAAAGUUCCUCCAUUACCACGUGAAAAUCUCCCCCAGAAAAGGAAUCUGCCUGCUAUUUUAAUGUGACACAUGACCAGGUACAUGGAGCCAGUGCGGAGACACCAUAUUGCCGCCUCCUGAUCAGCAGCUGACACCCCUGAAGUCCCCUUUUCUCCAGCUCUUCGCAUUUUGUGCUUAAAAGAGGAGGCCCAGCCUCUGCUAAGUUUGCCUUGCUUUGUGGCGCUGGCCCCAAGGGACCAUCUUCUUUGACUCAAGUGACUCAAGAUAACUGAAAAACAACCAUUAUUGAUGACACACACAUCACCUCUUAGUGCUUUGUGAAAAGGAGUUGUUCAAAGAAAGGAUUUGAUUUCUCAGUUUGUUCUUCAUGUAUUUAGAAGUUAUAUGAAUAGGGACAUACACAGUCAACCUUCAAAGAAGGAAGCAUUCAGCAGAUGACUUCUGUGGGAUUCAGUAGACCUCCAGAUCUCUGGAGACCCAAGUAGACCUUCCAGACUUCCACAGAGACUCAGCUUCUGUACCUGUCUCAGGCCAUGCCUCUGAAAUCACUGCCAAUGAGCACCCUUGACUUGGGUCCAAUGUCUCAAAGAGUUGUUGACUAUUGGUUCAUACCAAUAACUCAAAAACAGCUGUAGCACCUGUUGUCUCUGACACCACCUCUUGGUGACCAGCACUGAGUGACACUACUGAUUGGUGAGCAGCACUAUGCUUGGCCACCUUGGAGAGCUGUCCACUGCCUCUGGUUAUCUGGCACCACCUCUUGAUGCUGUUGAGUCUGUUGCUGUCUGUCCUGUAUUUGGUACUGUCCAGCCUGGCUUUCAGACUGUUGCUGUGGGUUGCUGGGGUGUCAUCUGAGCAGCCCUACUGGUGAGCACCUCCAGCUGCCACCGUGAGUAGGACCCUGGUGCCUGGCUGACCAGUGUGCCACUAGCUCCAGGCUCUUGUUGAUGGAAUGGUGACAUCUUGCAUGAGCAGAAUUUGUUUGGUCUACUGGAAACUGAACAAUGUCUAAGGUGAGACAGUGGGCCAUUUGCGGCC